GAUCAUGGCUCAGGAUGAACGCUAGCUACAGGCUUAACACAUGCAAGUCGAGGGGAAACGACAUCGAAAGCUUGCUUUUGAUGGGCGUCGACCGGCGCACGGGUGAGUAACGCGUAUCCAACCUGCCCACCACUUGGGGGAUAACCUUGCGAAAGUAAGACUAAUACCCAAUGAUAUCUCUAGAAGACAUCUGAAAGAGAUUAAAGAUUCAUCGGUGAUGGAUGGGGAUGCGUCG
rnacentral:rRNA from 1 species